rnacentral:rRNA from 1 species
GCAAGUCGAGCGAAUGGAUUGAGAGCUUGCUCUCAAGAAGUUAGCCCUUUACGGGUGAGUAACACGUGGGUAACCUGCCCAUAAGACCCGGAUAACUCCGGGAAACCGGGGCUAAUACCGGAUAACAUUUUGAACCGCAUGGUUCGAAAUUGAAAGGCGGCUUCGGCUGUCACUUAUGGAUGGACCCGCGUCGCAUUAGCUAGUUGGUGAGGUAACGGCUCACCAAGGCAACGAUGCGUAGCCGACCUGAGAGGGUGAUCGGCCACACUGGGACUGAGACACGGCCCAGACUCCUACGGGAGGCAGCAGUAGGGAAUCUUCCGCAAUGGACGAAAGUCUGACGGAGCAACGCCGCGUGAGUGAUGAAGGCUUUCGGGUCGUAAAACUCUGUUGUUAGGGAAGAACAAGUGCUAGUUGAAUAAGCUGGCACCUUGACGGUACCUAACCAGAAAGCCACGGCUAACUACGUGCCAGCAGCCGCGGUAAUACGUAGGUGGCAAGCGUUAUCCGGAAUUAUUGGGCGUAAAGCGCGCGCAGGUGGUUUCUUAAGUCUGAUGUGAAAGCCCACGGCUCAACCGUGGAGGGUCAUUGGAAACUGGGAGACUUGAGUGCAGAAGAGGAAAGUGGAAUUCCAUGUGUAGCGGUGAAAUGCGUAGAGAUAUGGAGGAACACCAGUGGCGAAGGCGACUUUCUGGUCUGUAACUGACACUG